rnacentral:lncRNA from 1 species
AUGAAGGUUCUAGGUUUCGGCGUUGGGAGGAAUCCAAGGUUAAGUGGGAGUUGUAUGGUGUUGAUGGAAUUCUGUACUUCUAUGGGAUUAGAAGUUUAGACAUUCUGGCGCCCUCGUUAAACUCAAACUGGAAUAAACGCGUAGCCACGCUCGGACUAAGAGUAGUUCGUUAGACCACUUUGAAUUAUAGACGAGAAUAGAGAAUGGUUGAUCACUAUAUAAGAAUGAAUAAUCCAUGUCUUAUGAUCAACGAAUGUUCUAUACAGAAGGGACUUAUUGAUAGAAUUAUCAGGGCUAUAAUAUUUGGUUAAGUAAAGUGUUACUUGAACGCAAAGAACUAGUUGACGACUGUAAAGUGCCAUGCCGUGUUAAGAGCAGUGCGAUGCAGCUAAGCGUCCAACUCUGCACACGUUGACUCAUUUAAUUAAAAUCGUCAAAGUGGGAGAUUGUUGGAUAUAUGUAUGUCCGACCUUAAUUAAAGUCAACGUAACUAACUUGGUACGAUCCGAAGAGUUACACGUUGGUACACGAAUCGUAUAUGUUCACGAGUAGGUAGAUUAUUAUUUGUGAAAUAAUAAUAGUGGAAACCCAAGAGACACCUUUUUCUAAUAAAAGGAUGUUUAAUGUGGAAACCCAAGAGACACCCUUUUAGAAUAAAAGGAUGUUUAAGGUGGAAACCCAAAGAGACUUUUUUUUUGGGCCGGUUCUACUAGAGGUAUCUUGUGCUCGGUUGUGAACUUCCUACUAGCGAGGAUUCGUUGUAACCCGCGUGUUACAAUUCCGGUGUAGUCGUCAAAGGUUGAUUACUAAAACCCUCUAUGGUUGUUUAUUCCGUUUAUUUGUUUAUACGCGUAUAACCUUGAUCCUGAUUG